rnacentral:lncRNA from 1 species
UUUCGUAAUUAAAAAAAAUCAAAUAUUUACAGUAUUUACGGAUCACAACUAAAGUCGUACAAAUCGCACGCUAACUUAUUUCUCUAAAUUUGCAUCCAGGAUUGGUUGAUUCCAUCAACUUUAUGUCAUAUACUCAAAAACUCAAUAUACUUUAUUGCAAAAAUUCCGCAAUCACCUCUGCAAUUGAACAAUAAUGAGUUAGAUCUUUACUGUACAGAUAAAAAUUAAGUAUUAAAUUUUAAAAAAUGUAGAACCACUUACGAUAUUGUCUGCCUCGUCGUGGUUGUGUCCCGCACGAUGGCUAAUCUGUCGUUCAUAGUCAAGCCUGUACGUCUAGCAUCAUAGGGACUAAAAUAGCGGUGGACUCCAGAUUUUGCUCAAGCUGACCCUAUGUCAGACAUAAAUGAUCAAGGUCGUAUAUAUAUACAGUAGACUUAGCAAACACAAUCUCCAAAGCUAUGCAGUGCCAAUUCAAGAUCACUGGUAUGUAUAUAUGCGUACAACCCUCCCAUAGCUUCCCCCUGACACGUGGCCACAUCCCUAUGGUCCACUCGAGCAUAUAGUCGAGCACCACGUACUCCGUACCUGCACUUUGCAACGACUGAUACUCAAUGUCAAUGCUUCGACUGAACCCCAAAUUCAGUAGGACUCGGCCAGGACUAUCAAAUGACCUCAGAUAUCUUUAAACUCGAUCACGCAACAAGUCCCUGACUAGGUCGAUGUGCUGUAUUAAGAAAUACUAAUACAAAAAAGAGUUAUUUCAUUACAUAAACAAAAAAUUAUAUACACAUAAAAAAUAAGAAUAUGACUACUUCACUUACAUCGUCGGCAAGCCAAGCUCCUGGAAUGAUGAUGUUGUGGAAUCACUUAUAAGCAUCGGAGAUGGUCGUUUAAUUGAUCGUGCGGCUGGUCCUAACAAAAGAAACAUAAAAAUGUUAAACAAGCCUAUACGAGUAACGCAUCGUACUUUACUAAUAUCAUGAAUACUUACCCAGGCAAAAUUCUUCUCCACUCCGUCUGGAACACUUUCUAUUUGGCAUGGUCCACCUCCAGAAAUAGGUUGGGAAACAUCCCAUCGACGAACCUCCUCCUCUUCGUCUCGACCGUGAAGGGAGAAAUGACGUACUGUGAUAGCAAUCUUGGCCUCUUGCCGAUCACCUACUCCAUCAUAGCAAUAGCACGCUUCUUACCAUCGGGGAUCAUCACCUCCGUUAGCUCCUCCUCCCCAAUCGGCUCUCCUAUUCCCAUCGAGCUCACCGCCUUCAUCACCGUCUCUUCCUCCCUGACCGGCUCUCUAGUCCCCAUCGAGCUCACCGCCUCCGUCACCCUCUCCUUCUCCCCGGCUGGCUCUCCUACUCCCAUCAAGCCCACCACCUUCGUCACCCUCUCUUCUCCCACUCUCUCCUCCACCCCCACCUGUCCCAUCUCCAUUGGGGCCACCCAAUCUCGCUCCACCGAUAAUAGAAAUGAUUCUAAUGCAUCAUCUGUCCAAAACUGUGGGUAACCCCCUCUCCGCCGUCCUCUUUGUCACCCUCUCUGUCAGUCCAUCACCUACCUGCAAUAUCACCUCGGAGUGUUGCGACCUCAUCCUAGAGGGGGGAUACGACAUGGCCACGUAGCAUUGUAACAUUGUAGGAUAAGUCGUCGACCCUUCCUCAUCAAUUGUCGCUCCACAUCGACUAUGAAUCGAGUUAGGCAGGCAUACAGAUCAUUGAUCCCAUGACCCUGACUGUGUGCAGGAGAUCCACCGGGGAUGGGCCUCGGCGGAGGAGGAGGUGAUGCCCUCGACGGAGGUGAUCGUCGAUCAACUAGACCGUGCUUCUACACAAAUAACAUUACAAAUUAUUAACUUAAUUAAUAAUUGCUAACUCAUAAAAACGUUAAUCAAUAAAUUAUAUAAAAUUCAUGCACCUCCCGCACCAGCUCUCGACCUUCGUCCUCCAUCGAUGGCGUCAACUCAGUUAUGACCUGAAC